rnacentral:rRNA from 1 species
CCUACGGGAGGCAGCAGUGGGGAAUUUUUCGCAAUGGGGGACACCCUGACGAAGCAACGCCGCGUGGAGGAUGAAGGCCUUCGGGUCGUAAACUCCUGUCGACCGGGACGAAAGUGGUCUGGCCUAAUACGUCGGGCUAUCGACUGUACCGGUGGAGGAAGCCACGGCUAACUCUGUGCCAGCAGCCGCGGUAAUACAGAGGUGGCAAGCGUUGUUCGGAAUUACUGGGCGUAAAGGGCGCGUAGGCUGUCCGACAAGUCCCGCGUGAAAUCCCCCGGCUCAACUGGGGAAUGGCGCGGGAAACUGUCGGGCUUGAGUUCGGGAGAGGGAAGCGGAAUUCCGGGUGUAGCGGUGAAAUGCGCAGAUAUCAGGAAGAACACCAGUGGCGAAGGCGGCUUUCUGGGCUGUCGCUGACACUGAGGUGCGAAAGCUAGGGGAGCGAACAGGAUUAGAUACCCUGGUAGUCCACGCCCUAAACGAUGUCGACUAGUUGUCGGGUCUUUACAGACUUGGUAACGCAGCUAACGCGUGAAGUCGACCGCCUGGGGAGUACGGUCGCAAGAUUAAAACUCAAAGGAAUUGACG